rnacentral:tRNA from 1 species
GGGGCGUUCGAUGGCUCGAAGGAACACUUGAGCCGUGUUCCUCGCGGGUUCGAUUCCCGCACGCUCCA